rnacentral:rRNA from 1 species
GAUCAGGCUCAGGAUGAACGCUAGCUACAGGCUUAACACAUGCAAGUCGAGGGGAAACGACAUCGAAAGCUUGCUUUUGAUGGGCGUUCGACCGGCGCACGGGUGAGUAACGCGUAUCCAACCUGCCCAUCACUUGGAAUAACCUUGCGAAAGUAAGACUAAUGCCCAAUGAUAUCCCACGAAGGCAUCCGAAUGGGAUUAAAGAUUUAUCGGUGAUGGAUGGGGAUGCGUCUGAUUAG